rnacentral:misc_RNA from 1 species
CUUAAACGUUCCCUAGCCCUCAUUUCUGCUGGUUUCUUCCUAUUUUCCUCAGCAAAGACAACAGUCAGCUCCCGACCAAGAAGAAUUUCACCAUCCAUAUGAUGCUUAGCGUCUGCAGCAUCAGCUGGAUCUACAUAUUGGACAAAUCCAAAGCCGCGUGGCUCCCUUGAUGGAGCCAAUAUUUUAAUUGAGUUGGAUAUUCUUCAACACUUGGAACUUCUCCAGAAUGUAUUCAAAUCCAACUUCCCUUCAAUCUCGAUGUUCAUNNNNNNNUUGAACAGUACUCUUAUUACUUGAUUGGUGUCUUCAAGUACUCUUAUUACUUCAUUGUUGUCUUCAUCACAGUUCUCUUAUUACUUCAUUUGUGUCUUCCAAAACCAGUAUGGUAAUCCCGAGGCAAGUAUAU